rnacentral:rRNA from 1 species
CGAGUGGCGUAAGGGUGAGUAAUGCAUUGAUAACCUACCUCCAAGAUGGGAAUAACAACGUUCCAAGCAAUUGGGGCUACCGAAAGGGUUGCUAAUACUCAAUAAAAUUAUUGUUGCUUCGGCAAUAAUAGUCAAAUAGGAGGAAUCGAAAGGUUUCGCUUGCUUGAAGAGGGGUCAAUGUCCUAUCAGCUAGUUGGUGGGGUAAUAGCCUACCAAGGCGAAGACGGGUAGCCGGCCUGAGAGGGUGGUCGGCCACACUGGGACUGAGAUACUGCCCAGACUCCUACGGGAGGCUGCAGUCGAGAAUCUUUCGCAAUGCCCGAAAGGGUGACGAAGCGACGCCGCGUGCGGGAGGAAGGCCUUCGGGUUGUAAACCGCUGUCGGGAGUUAAGAAAUGCAAGGAUGUUAAUAGCGUUCUUGCUUGACUAAGGCUCCGGAGGAAGCCACGGCUAACUCUGUG